CGGAAAUGACCAUUUGUCUGAAUGAUUCAUUGGUUGACGGAGCAAGCAUAAACAAAUAGUUACCAUAGCCUGCAUUUUAGAGGGCUCAAAUGAGACUAGUAUGGCUUCACAUUUACUCCAUAGAUAAGUUAAAGGAAAAAAAACAGAGUGAUCAGUAAAAGGAAAACAGACCCGUGGACUUGAAAAUUCCUUUGGGGUCGACCUCUGUCAUAGCUCGAGCAGAGGCUUCAGCCCCAUCUAGAACUU